UACGGAGGGGGCUAGCGUUGUUCGGAAUUACUGGGCGUAAAGCGUACGUAGGCGGCUUUGUAAGUUAGAGGUGAAAGCCUGGAGCUCAACUCCAGAACUGCCUUUAAGACUGCAUCGCUUGAAUCCAGGAGAGGUGAGUGGAAUUCCGAGUGUAGAGGUGAAAUUCGAUAGAUAUUCGGAAGAACACCAGUGGCGAAGGCGGCUCACAUGGACUGGUAUUGACGCUGAGGUACGGAAAGCGUGGGGACGCGAACGGG
rnacentral:rRNA from 1 species